rnacentral:lncRNA from 1 species
CACACUGCUAGGAUUACAGGUGUGUGCCACUGUACCCAGCCUAGAAAAGGACAUUUUAAACAAAUCAAUAAGAAGUGAGGCCUGCAAUAAUAUUGAUAACUAUUCUCUGCUUUUCUGCUCACAGACCUUUGUCAUUUAUUAUGAAUGUUACAUGCAAUCUCAAUCUUGAAAAUCUGAGAAAGGUACAAUCUGAGAAUGGUUGUUAGUAUAAAGCAGUCUCUUUUUGCUACCUUAAAAAGGAUCCACCAAAUUAUAGGCUGACACCUCCCUGUUUCCUCCCACCCAAAGCAUAAUUCAUCUUUUCAGUUCUACUGGGAUAUUACAUUACUUUGGGACUUUAGAGGUAAGCUGUGAAUGAACUCUAGUGCAUCUGUGCUAUGGCCUAUUAAUAAAUUCUUUAACAAUGAUUCACCGUGGGCUUUGAAACAAGUUAAUAUCUAUUAAUUUGCCUUGCCUUAAAUACAAAUUCUUCCUUUCCCAAUAGAACGUCCCUUUGAAAAUGAUUACUACUAAAACGGUGAGAUUGUUAAUGUGCUUCUCACUUUAUUCUUAAUGAAAAGUAGACAAAAUAUAUGAAUCUCAGAUCACAAAAGAUAAUUUUUUGUUAACUGGUGAAGGCUUGGCUUAGUGUUCACACAUUCAGUUCCAUUCAAUUUCAUCAAUAUUUGGAGUAUUAGAUAUUAUUUAUAGUAUUACAGUCUCUUUGUGAUCCCUGAGUGCAUGGCUUAGUAUUUAGUGAACAAAUACCUAUAAGAUGCUAAACAUCAGAUACAAUUGUGUAUAAGGUUUCAUACAGGAGAGAAAGCCAUUAGGCUCACUUUGAGGGAAGGAAACUAUCAAGCUAAAGAGAAAAGGUGAUAUUUAUAAGAAUUCAAGCAAAGAAGUAAGGCAACAUAACAUACAAUUUCACAUAUAUUCUGGAAACCAUGAGAAGUCUAGUGCAGCUAAAAUGCUGGUUGCAUGGGUCAUGGGAAACCCCUCGAACAAUGCCCCAAAUGCAACCUGAGGUCCUUAGUCCUACAACAUCUCAGUGUUUCCUUCCCAGGAGAAGCAAAUGAGAUGAUUGAGACUGUGACUAUCAUCUAUUGUUCUUUAACAGGUUAUUGCUCCCUUAAUGUGUCUCUCAGGGUCAGGCUGCAAAUUUCCCUCAAAGCAGCAUAAAAGAAGAAGGGACACUCACAAAUCCCCUGACCAAUGCCUCUUUGUUUAGAAAUGCUUGCUGUUUGGAAACUUGUGAAGACCUGCAUCCCUUUGUAUCUCAAAUAAAGACAGAGGGUUGAAGAUAGCAAGUGCAUCUCUGGGCAACUACUGCAGCUGGCUGUGGGGGACUGAUGCAUACUGUUGAGGCUGAUCUUACUCUGUCUCCUCUCUAUAAUCAAAAUGUGUCUCUGGAAGCUACUUCCCACCAUCCCUUGGCCAUUGGCACCUGGGCUUCUCACCUGUUCUGCUCUCCGCUGUGACUUUAUUGCUGAGAUCUCCACUGUGAGUUACCACCCACAGCACGUACUUCCUUCCAGGAACAAGGCCUUGAAACCGCCACUCCGUCAGGUCCUUGUCUUUCCAGUUUUCCUUCUUUGUGCCAUUGGGAUUAUAGAGAAUCAGCUCAUAAAAGUCAAAGUCCCCAGAGGCUGGACUCCAGUUGAACCAAAGGCUGUCUGUCGUGUUCCGAUUGGACCCCCUGAGAUGACUCACAGAGGCUGGGACUUAAACAGAAGAAAAAUUGUUACUGAGAACAAAACAGAAACACAGGCAUUUUGGCCCACAGAUCUCUAUUAAGAGAAAAAUACAAAGAAUAAAUGAGUAAGGCUCUUGAAACCAUUGAAUUGUACAAACUUUGGUGGUUUUAAAUCUGGAUUUGUGAAUAGCUGAGCCCGUUCACUGUCCCAUUUUGGAGAACCAUGAGGCAUUCUACAAUCUAGCCCUUCUCCAGGUGGAUGCUUACCUGUCCGCCCAACCACAUUUAUCUGAUUCUUCAGGGACCCGCUGACUGAGGCAAUCAUGAUCUGGUACUGCUCCCCGGCCUCCAGUCUGUGGAACGUGUGCUCAAAGACGUGCUUGGGAAUAGUCUGAGAGUCAACCUUUUGACUGUGCCUGAAUGCCGACACCGUGUAGGAAUCAACGUCUCCCCCACCAGGAGUCCAGUUCACCGUCAGGCUAUCUGUUGCUCCAUUGGGAGAAAUGUGAAUAUUUUUGACAGCACUAGGAACUAAAACAGAAAAUAAAUUUAAAAGUCAUCACUUAGAGAAUGAACUGUUGAAAUUUUCAAACAAAGUUUUGAAUGCUUCUGAUGUUUUGGCACCCACUGAGAGAACUCACAUGAAAAAGAAAGUAACAAUUUGCCACUUUUCUCUGAUUUUUCUGUGUGAACUAAAGUUGAUGGGGGAAAGCUUAGGGGGAAGUCAAAGCCGGUGAGUGGAAAUGAGGAAUGCUAAUUAUAUAGCGAGGGGCUAGUUAGGGUGUCUUGGUCCAAGUUUUGGUUUUCUCACUCACUAGCUGUGGGACUACAGGCAAAUUACUUGACCUCUGUAAGUUUUAGUUUCUUCAUUAGGAAAAAUGGCAGUGAUGAUAAUACUAACCAGCCCAUAGAGUUGUGAAGAUUGAUUCUUUUUUAAUUUAAUUUUAUUUUAUUUUUGAGGUAGGGUCUCUGUCUGUUGUCCAGGCUGGAGUGCAAUGGCAUGAUUAUGGCUCACUGCAUCCUAUACCUCCUGGGCUCAAGUGAUUCUCCCACCUCAGCCUCCCCAGUAGCUGGGACUACAGGCACGUAACACCGUGCCCGGCUAAUUUUUUUGUAUUUUUUGUAGAGACAGGGUUUUGUCAUGUUGCCCAGGCUGUGCUUGAACUCCUGGGCUCAAGCUAUCCUCCUGCCUUGGCUUCCAAAGCAUUGUGAAGACUGAACAAGAUGUAGACAUAAAAUGCUUUGCUGUGGGUCUGGUUCAUGGUGAACUGUCAGUACAUGUUAACUACUAUGGCAACACUCCUAAAAGAGUUCUAAAGAAGUGAUACCCAAGUAACACUUAAUUCUUAAUCUGUGUGCCUCAGAAGCACCAGCUGAUCACAUCAGUUCAUUGCUAUUUCUCUGAAAGCACCCUCCAACCCCGCCACUCUCUGCUGACAUCAUACUUUAUUUUCAUUCAUCCAGGUUGGACAACAUCAUUGUCACUAUCAACAUGACUUUGUCCCUUCUUGCUGUCUCCCUUUUAUCCCUCCAAAUGCUCAAUCGAAAUACCUGAACUACCCGAAAGUUAAAUGCACCACUGCAUCUAUUCAGGUUCAAGAACAGUAUUUCACAUUACCUGUGAAGCCCUCAAUGAAGGCUGACUGCUGUACAUCCCCGCUAAUCGUCAAGACAAGAAUUUUGUAUUGGCGGCCUGGUGUUAGGGAAGUAAAUCGAUACUCGGUUGCGGUAUUUACAAGGUGAAAAGGAGGAAAUACUUUCAUGUCAUUGAAGAGCAGCUGGAUCUCAUAUUGGUCGACAUCCCCAUUAGCUCCUGACCAAGUCACAUGCAAGUCCUCAGUGCUCCUGUUGCGCAAUGUUAGAUCCUUAACAGGCUCUGGAACUAGGGAGAAAAAUGAGAAGACAUUUCAGGAAAGGAACUGAUCAGAGUUUACCUACAUAAUAAUUUAUGAAUCACAUUCAAGGAACUGGCAACAUCUCCCUUCCCCAAAUAAACCACUAGCACUACUUCAUGCAUAAUUAAACAAGAAAAAUUGGAAGCAACUAUUAACAUUGUGGUUUUUUCCUGACAUAAAUGUUACAUGAUCAGCAUUGGUAGAACAUAAUUAUAAAAUGAGUUAUGAUCUCAAUCAUAAGAUAAAACAAGAAGUCUAGAAUCUAAAUGCCAUGAUGCAGGAAGAUAGGGAAGAAAAAUGGGACAUUUAGCCUUCUUGCUCCCUCACUAUGUUUGCUUUUAUCUACCAAUAAAUAUUCUGUAAUUAUAGGCCAUGGCUUGGCUGAAUGAUGUUAGCACCAAGUGAGACUUACUGGGAAUGUAAUGUACUAAUGAAUAAGCAGAAAAAAUUCAAGGUUCAGAUAAAUUACUAGAGACUUUCAAGUCCAACCAACUGUCAGAUUUUGCAAUCGUUCC